CACCGCGGUCAUACGAUUAACCCAAAUUAACAAGCCUCCGGCGUAAAGCGUGUCCAAACAAAAGACUAAUAAUAAAGUUAAUACUUAACUAAGUUGUAACACACUCCAGUUAAUACUAAGAUAAACUAUUAAAAUAACUUUAAUAAAGCUGAUACACGAAAACUAAGGUA
rnacentral:rRNA from 1 species